GCCUGACGGAGCAACGCCGCGUGCGGGACGGAGCCCUUCGGGGGUGUGAACCGCUUUUGCCGGGGACGAAGCGAUGACGGUACCCGGCGAAUCAGGGCCGGCUAACUACGUGCCAGCAGCCGCGGUAAUACGUGGGGCCCGAGCGUUGUCCGGAGUCACUGGGCGUAAAGCGCGCGCAGGCGGCCCGCCAAGUCCGGCGUGAAAGCCCCGGCUCAACCGGGGAGGGUCGUCGGGGACUGGCGGGCUUGAGGGCGGCAGGGGCCGGUGGAAUGCCCGGUGUAGUGGUGAAAUGCGUAGAGAUCGGGCGGAACACCCGUGGCGAAGGCGGCCGGCUGGGCCGUUCCUGACGCUGAGGCGCGAAGGCGUGGGGAGCGAACGGGAUUAGAUACCCCGGUAGUCCACGCAGUAAACGAUGCGGACUGGGCGUGGGGGGACGUUGACCCCCUCCGUGCCGGAGCCAACGCGUGAAGUCCGCCGCCUGGGGAGUACGGCCGCAAGGCUAAAACUCAAAGGAAUUGACGG
rnacentral:rRNA from 1 species